CAUUUCCUUAGCAUCUUUGUUUUAAAAAACCCUAUCCUGACUGAACUUUGACUUUAAACCAGUCUGUGAUUCACUCAACAUCCUCUGAUCCUAACUAUUAGUCAAAAUAAUUCACGAUUUCUGCUUUUUUAACACUUAAAAAUUGUAUAAUGUCAG